UUCCAAAUUGCUCCCCGCAUGCUCCCUGUUGGCCAGAGGGUGACCUGGGAACACCCCCACCGCUGUGUUUGCCUCCCUCAGCUUUGCCAAAAGAACCCAGGGGGGAUACUGACACCAGCUGCUGUGACAUCGGCCUGACCGAUGGAAGUUUACCAAUACAACUGGAGUCAGCCAACAAAAUCACAAGCAUUCCCUCCACGUGUGAUGAGCUGCAGCAGGAGGACAACGCCUUCUGCAAAUGUGUGAUGGACAAGAUCCACAGCUUUUGGCCUGCCUUCGAGGAGUACCUCACCAGGGAGGAUGUGAGUGAGAGCGUCCUAGACAUAAACAGGGUGAAGGCGCGGGUCCAGAAUGUGAGCACCUCCAUCACCCACGAUCUCACCUUCACGCUCACGCCGAAUGAGGUCCCCAAGGAGCUAGACAUAAGUGUGAAGGGGAACGUGAGCAACAUAAAACUCCCCAGGGGACUAUUUCAGUCCAUUCACAAUGAGACAGACUACGUCAAAGUGGCAGUGCUGGUGCUUGACGUUGGAAAAGUGGGCCUGUUUAAGGUAAGCGUUGCCAUAACAGUCAAAGCAAAUACCUGAAGC
ensembl:lncRNA